AUGGACCGAGUCAACAAGCCCUCCUCUCUGAAGGUGAUACCAGAGGAGAAAGCCGACGUGAAGAUGCUGAUGGAGCACGUAGUUCAGUUGGUUCGGGAGGGAGUGACGGGUAUGGAUCUCCUGGAGGUUUUUCUUAGGCGACGUAUCCAGCCUCUUCAGUUCCGGAGCCAUUGCAUGUGGUUGUACCGCGGGACUGAAGAUGAGACUCGGAUCAAUCCAGAAGCAGUCGACGAUGCCACUCUGGAAAGGUGGAUGGCCGCUGUCACUGGGAACAAGGAUAACCCUCGUGGAGCUAGAAGGAUUCCUCCACUCGACCACCGCAGUGUUCCAGACAAGGCCCUCACCGAGCUGUACUCGAUGCCCAAUGGAGCACAGGCUCCGACUGAAGAGGGAGAGGCGAGCGGGGGCGAGAGCCAGGAGGAGUGGGACUCGGAUGCCGCUGACGAUGACGACGAUGAUGACGACGACGAGGAGGACGAAGAAGAAGAGGAGGAGGAGGUCGCACCACCGCGCUCGAAAAGGUGGUCGAAGCUUGCCCAUGACCCUGUGACUGAACGGGGCAAGGGGGUUGCGACUGUCGCGCAGUCGACCAAACGCCCUCGGACCACCUCUCCGGUGCCGACUAAAAAGGCGCCGAAGCAGUCCAAGGUGGCCCCGUCAAAGCCGACCAAGCUCCUACCAAAGAUGAAGGUGUCCAUCCCCACCAUAUCAUGUGCUGCUACUUCUGAGACCUCAGCCAGGGCUGAUGACCAUGAGAUGGAGGACGUAGCAACCUCAAACCCUGCUCCAUCCAAUGUCGUUAUCACUCUUCCUGAUGAUGAUGACGAUGAGGAACCACUGAAGCACAGGAGGAGCAGGAAAGCAUCUGCCGACAGGGUGGCCCCGGAUGUGACAGCGCCCGAGACUCUGGUCGCGGAGGAGGAGAACACCACUCGACACACCGUGUCUUUCGCGGUGCCGUUGACGAGUGCUUAUCCUGCUUCGUCGAGUGCCGCACAACCUUCUCUCUUCACGACGCACCACGUCCCAGAGGACCAAGCCAGUGCUGCUAAGGAAGCGAUACGCCAAGCGGGGAUCAUGAUGGAGCAGGUGAAGGCCAUCCGGGAUGCGAGCCAGGCAGCUUACGACGCCAGUUCUGCCCUUCAAAGCAAUGUUCAGAAAUCCUGUGACCUUGCGGCUCGUUAUACCAAGCUGGAGCACAAGCACAUUCAGCUCGAGCUGGAUCUGAAGCUGGUUCAGGAGAAUCUGACGAAGGCGAAGGAGGAGACCAAAGGCAAGGUGAAGGAGGCCCAGAAGAAAAAAAGACCUUGA
rnacentral:rRNA from 1 species